GUCUAUAUACGUAUAGCAUAUCAAUAAGCGGAGGAAAAGAAACUAACAAGGAUUCCCUAGUAACGGCGAGUGAAGCGGGAAGAGCUCAAAUUUGAAAUCUUCAAGGUUUUACCUUGACGAAUUGUAGUUUAAAGAAGUGUUUUCUGUUGGAGUUUUGGUAAAAGUUCUUUGGAAUAGGACAUCAUAGAGGGUGAGAAUCCCGUAUUUGACCAUUAUUUCCAGCUGUGUGAUACACUUUCAAAGAGUCGGAUUGUUUGGGAAUGCAGUCCAAAAUGGGUGGUAAAUUUCAUCUAAAGCUAAAUAUUGGCGAGAGACCGAUAGCGAACAAGUACCGUGAGGGAAAGAUGAAAAGAACUUUGAAAAGAGAGUUAAACAGUACGUGAAAUUGUCAAAAGGGAAGCGUUUGACACCAGUGUUGUUUUUCCGAAAAUCAAUUACGAAUGUUUUAUUUUGAGGAGUUAUUGACUUCAUCGGCUUGCUUCUUUCUUUAUGAAACUUUCUUAAUGCACUUUUCGGUUAACAAGUCAACAUCAAUUUCUUUUGUUGUAAAAGGGUAAUGAGGAAGGUGGCUUUCGCUUUCGGAUAAAGUGUUUAUAGCCUUGUACCUCUGCAAUCGGAGAGAUUGAGGUCUGCAGCGUAGAUCCUUCGGGGUUAGAUACAUUUGUGCUAAGUUAUAGCUUUUCAUAGACAACUUGUUGACUAUGAUUAGUCUUGUAGCUUACUCGCUUAUGCUAUUUUACCUACGCUUAGGAUGUUGAUAUGCAUGACUGAUAU
rnacentral:rRNA from 1 species